AACCUGAAACAAAGGAGACCUGUGUUAUUUGUAUUCAUAUCGCAGCCAAGGUUUUCCCCAGAUUGAUGUGGACCAUACAGCUGGUGACACCUGAGCAGUGUUGUGAUUUGUAUUCACCAUCUCCAGUGUUCUAGGGGCUGGAGUUCUCAACACCAUGAGGAAAACAGGCUUCCUCUGUCAUGUGCUCCUGUUAUGAGGUUUUGUGCCACCACAGACUCUAUCCAAUCAAAUGAGCUCAGCUUCUGAGAAGAAUUGCAGCAUGCAGGCAGCUGCCCAUGGGUGAAGAAAGGAGGAAUUUGCAGAGAUGGAG